CACACACACACACACACACACACACACACACACACACACACACACGGCUACCACUACAGCUGCGACACACACACCAAGACCAUCACCUGCCUGGGUAACACACACACACACACACACACACACACACACACACACACACACACACACACACACACACACACACACACACACACACACACGGCUACCACUACAGCUGCGACACACACACCAAGACCAUCACCUGCCUGGCCUCUAAUGAUGCGUGCCGCAUGUUCAUUUGUGACUGUGACAAGGCGUUGGCCGAGUGCAUGACGACCACCACCUAUAACCCCGCCCACCACUACUACAACCAGGCCCUGUGCCACAAGACCAGCUAAGCCAAUAACCAUGGCCCUACCAGCACAAGCUCAGCCAAUCAGGGUGGCCUACCAGCACAGCUAAGGCCCGCCUUCAACAGCUACUACAAAAAAAUUGGGACGCUAGCUAGCAGCACGGCUAAGCCAAUCACCACGGCCCACCAGCACAGUUCAGCCAAUCAGGAUUGGCCCAGCACAGCUAAGGCCCGCCUUCAACAGCUACUACAAAUAAAACCGGGACGCUAGCUAGCAGCACGGCUAAGCCAAUCAGGAUUGCCCAAGUACGGCGAAGUCAGUCAAGAUGCUAGCAUGUUAGCACGGCUAAGGCCCGCCUACAACAACAGCUACUGCAACCAAUUAGGACGCUAGCGGCAUAGCUAAGGCCCGCCCAUCAUCAAUUCGAAUAGCCAAUCAUAGUGCUGGAAUCUUGUGCUAAAUAAAGGAAACUUUGCUGCA